UGGGGAAUAUUGGACAAUGGGCGAAAGCCUGAUCCAGCCAUGCCGCGUGUGUGAAGAAGGUCUUCGGAUUGUAAAGCACUUUAAGUUGGGAGGAAGGGCAGUAAGCGAAUACCUUGCUGUUUUGACGUUACCGACAGAAUAAGCACCGGCUAACUCUGUGCCAGCAGCCGCGGUAAUACAGAGGGUGCAAGCGUUAAUCGGAAUUACUGGGCGUAAAGCGAGCGUAGGUGGUUCGUUAAGUUGAAUGUGAAAGCCCCGGGCUCAACCUGGGAACUGCAUCCAAAACUGGCGAGCUAGAGUAGGGCAGAGGGUGGUGGAAUUUCCUGUGUAGCAGUGAAAUGCGUAGAUAUAGGAAGGAACACCAGUGGCGAAGGCGACCACCUGGGCUCAUACUGACACUGAGGUGCGAAAGCGUGGGGAGCAAACAGG
rnacentral:rRNA from 1 species